rnacentral:rRNA from 1 species
UCCUACGGGAGGCUGCAGUCGAGAAUCUUCGGCAAUGGGCGCAAGCCUGACCGAGCGACGCCGCGUGUGGGAUGAAGGCCUUCGGGUUGUAAACCACUGUCAGAGGGGAUGAAAUGCAGGUGGGUUCUCCCAUCUGUUUGACAUAGCCUCAGAGGAAGGACGGGCUAAGUUCGUGCCAGCAGCCGCGGUAAGACGAACCGUCCAAACGUUAUUCGGAAUCACUGGGCUUAAAGGGUGCGUAGGCGGCGCGGAAAGUUGGGUGUGAAAUCCCUCGGCUCAACCGAGGAACUGCGCCCAAAACUACCGUGCUCGAGGGAGAUAGAGGUGAGCGGAACUUAGGGUGGAGCGGUGAAAUGCGUUGAUAUCCUAAGGAACACCGGUGGCGAAAGCGGCUCACUGGAUCUCUUCUGACGCUGAUGCACGAAAGCUAGGGUAGCGAACGGGAUUAGAUACCCCAGUAGUCA